rnacentral:rRNA from 1 species
AGUGACCUACGGGGGCAGCAGUGAGGAAUAUUGGUCAAUGGCCGAGAGGCUGAACCAGCCAAGUCGCGUGAGGGGAGACGGCCCUACGGGUUGUAAACCUCUUUUGUCGGGGAGCAAAGCGAACCACGUGUGGUUCAUUGAGAGUACCCGAAGAAAAAGCAUCGGCUAACUCCGUGCCAGCAGCCGCGGUAAUACGGAGGAUGCGAGCGUUAUCCGGAUUUAUUGGGUUAAAGGGUGCGUAGGCGGACUGUUAAGUCAGCGGUAAAAGCCCGGGGCUCAACCCCGGCGAGCCGUUGAAACUGGCU